ACAGAGGAGAUUGUGUGCCAGGGGUUUUAUUUCCUCAAUCAGCCAAGCUGGAGGCUGGAAUUUACGAAAUGUCUCCUGCUAGAACUACCCUCGUCUGAUUUUUGUGCCAGUCAUCUGAGUAAGCUAGCCUUCCUCCUGCCUGGAACAUGAUAAUGAGACUUACAGUCGUGGCUGCCAUUCUGCAAGUGAUAAUCUACAGGUCACAUUUGGCAGACUUCCAAAUCCACUUGCCCAGGAGAACCCUGACUAAUACAUGAACUUUUGGCAUGGAGUGCAAAAAAUGACUGGCAUUUCUUUCCAGAAUCGGGCUCUGGCUAUGUAAGAUAAAAAGGAGAUUUAUCGUAAGAAGCUAAUAUUGGUGGGAGGCUUGGAAAAUAAGGAUCUAGGGAUUCUAGAGCUUGGCAACAAGAGCAGUUGAGCCAGGAUUUCACUGCUGCUUCCGUGUCUGACUCCGCAGCAGUAGAAAAUACAUUUCAGCCAUCAACUCACCUCUGUGGUGCGUGCUCUCCAUUCAAAGGCCUUGAAGCAAAUGUCUAGUCGGCUGGUUAAGCAAGGAUCAAAUGCUUCUUUGUCUGGCAGUGGAGAGAUCAGAAAUACCCAUCUUCGAUUUCUAUUGUGGGAGGUAAGACAAUAUAUCCCACUAAUACUACAAACAAUGGGGACUUUCUGUAAAAUAAGAAGGAAUGUUGGGUAUUUGAUAAAAUAAUACAUAUUUCACUACAACUCUUUUGCUGAAUAUUGAUGAAAGUAGGAAGCAAAGUAAAACAUAAGCUUAAGUCAAUGAUUACUUUAAAUGUGCCUUAGAAGACUGUUCAUUGACACUAUGAGAAAGAAGAUUAAUUCUAAGCAAUUAGCUUAAAGCAGAGAGAAGAUAAGCCAACAUCAAUAACAUUUGUGAUUCUAAAGCUCUAUCAAAAAUGAAAGCCAAGAACUAAAUACAGUUGGCC